GAUAGCUCAGUCAGUAGAGCAUGAGACUCUUAAUCUCAGGGACAUAAGUUCAAGCCCCAUUGUGGGCA